rnacentral:lncRNA from 1 species
GGUCAUCCAAACACAUAAACUCAAUACUUGUCUUAAGAAUUCUUCUAGCCAUUACUCACUUUCUUACAUUCCGAAUUAGCCUUAUGUUUGAACAAUCAAGAUUCACCAAUUUAGCACAUUGUCGGAUAAUCAAGAUUAAGCACUCACAUUAAAAUUGCAUUCAGAUCAUCAAUACUGACAUCGAGGAGCAUAUAUUCCAUUUACAGACUCAAGGGACAUAAAUUCAAUCUUGCAUCUAAGGCGCCAAGGGUAUUCUCAACUUACUUUUGUAGUUACAAAUAAGCAUUUACAUUGAAAAUGCAUUAAGACCAUCAAUUUUAGGGACAUCGAGGGACAUACUAUCAAUUAGGGAACUAUACUCACCAAGAGGUUCACCAGCAUCUACUCCAAAAAGAAGGGCAAUCCAUUCUAUCUUUGAAAGAAAAUUGACCAAGUUCGUCAUGGAUCCAUGUUUUAAUCCCAGCUCUAUUUAAAUGUGUUACAGAGGAUGCAUCAAUCUUACAUUUAAAUUGCCCUUUUCCAAUUAACAGCAGCCAAAUAUGUCUGUGCUGCACCAGGCUCAGCCGCUGUAGCAUUCGACAAAGGACNNNNNNNNNNNNNNNNNNNNNNNNNNNNNNNNGGGAACCUGCAUCAGACCUGAAACAGAACAAAAUCUAGCAAUCAAAAAUCAAAGAGGAGAAUGUCUUCAAACCUUAUAUCAAAAGAAAGACCACUUUUCUUUUCAACGAAUUUAAAAAUUGGCACGCGAGCCUUUCCAAUGACCUGAGAAACAUUCACAAGCAAAAUACCGUACACUUAAAAUUUUGAAAGAACACUUCAGAUUGGCAACAAAAAUACUGAUAUUUGAGUAACCAGANNNNNNNNNNNNNNNNNNNNNNNNNNNNNNNNNNNNNNNNNNNAUACUUCUCUGUGUCAAUGAUCUAGAAAUUGCAUUUAAACCAAUAUGCGGAUUCAGUAAGCCUGAUUUUAGAAUCACAACUUGUGGCCAAAAAGAUUUGAUAGCAGUGUACAUAUCAAUCAAUCGUCCAUAUGUACUAGUUCAUAUGAAAGGUUCAGUUCAGUUAAGCAUCAGAAUAUGAAAAGGAUAACGACCAUGGUUGGAUAAACAAAUUAAUUAGGGCUGAGCAUCGGGCGGGUUCGGGCCCAAAAUAGUCGGGUUCCAUGAAACCGAACAUGCAUUUUCAAGGCCCAAUUCCGCCCAUAAAUUGUAUCAGUUUGAACGGGUUCGGUUAAGACGAAACUGCGGGUCUUCGAGUCAGUUGGUUCGGGUUACAACUAGAAGAAAAAAAGAAAAGAAAAAUUGAGAAGUGAAGAAACAAAAAUGGUUUUCACUGGUUUUGUUGAAGCAUAAACAUGGCUAAGAAGAAAGGUAGAGGAAGAAGAUAAAACAGAGAGAGAAAACAAGGAUACAUUUAUUAAAAGAAUUAAUUUAAUAUAUGAGUUAUUGAGAUGGAACAUUGGAAUAGAGAAAACGUGAUGAUAAGAAAAGUUACAGAAAAGUGACAUAAAGGAGUAUUAAAAUAGUGUUAUACUAGUAUACUAGUACUAGUAUAGGCAAAAAGACUGAUAGCAUUUACUUUUUGGCAGAAAAUAUAAGUACUCACAUGACCUUUUAUACAUACCUCGAGGGACAUCGAGGGACAUACUAUCAAUUAGGGAACUAUACUCACCAAGAGGUUCACCAGCAUCUACUCCAAAAAGAAGGGCAAUCCAUUCUAUCUUUGAAAGAAAAUUGACCAAGUUCGUCA